rnacentral:misc_RNA from 1 species
ACGCGAGGAGUCAGCUGCUCGCCCUACGUCUCCAGUGCCACUGCCUCACUCUAACACCAAACGAUCACAACGAGGCCGGCGAGGCUGUUGCAGAAGUUCACAUAAAUACGCGCAAUACACGCACGCACACAGACUCAUGGCAUCGCGUGCCAUUGCCAACUUUUCAGCGGACUUUUCGCCGCUCAAGUACGUUGAGCGCGCCGUCAAGAACUCGGACUGCCGAACACCCAUCAUUUUUGUGCAGCAAGACGGUGACCCGUUCCAGACCGUGUGCUACCUGGCCAAGAAGCGCGACUCUGCCGUUUGGAGUUUUGACGUGGCUCAGCUGCAGAGCAUGCAGAACGUUGCGGACUACAUCGACGUGGGUAUCAACAAUGGCGACUGGGUGUACAUCACCAAUUGCGACCUUGUGAGUGAGUCGUACUUCCGCGAUGUUGCGCGCACCCUGUACAAGAUUCUCCCCGAGCCGCACCUCUACCCUCGUCGUGAGGUUUUCCGCUGCUUUUUUGGCGUCACUAUGCCCUUUGACCUGAACGCGCCGGUGGGUCUGCCCUUUCCUCCAUUGUUCAUGCACAGCUCCCUCGUGGCACGCCCCACCGCCACACAAGGGACGAAGUGGUCGCGUAUUAUGCCGGCUGAAAAGACCCUCUUUUCCGCUGCGGCGCUGAAACACCAACAGCGUCGCGAGGUUGGCCGCGAAAGCGACAGUGAGAGCGACCUGGAUGAGGGGGACCGCAUUUCCGGAGUCAUCUUUUACCGCGCCGUGGAACGGAGCCGCGACAUUGAUCAGUCAACCGUAACGCUAGCGAAGCACGAGAUGGUGCAAGCCGUCGAAGCGCAGGAUGACCCCGUCAUGCGCCGCCUUGUGUCCUCAGGCGAGGUGGACCUGUCCCGCAAACUGAAGGACGGCAUGACACCCUUGCAGUAUGCCUGCUGCAAACAGCUGACGGGGUCUGUGCGCACCUUGUUGUCUCUAGGUGCUGACCCCAAUGCCCCGCGCGAGUCAGACGGUCGCCCUCCGCUGUUCAUGUCGAUCGACGACAUGGAGCUAGCAAAAAUGCUCGUCGAAGGCGGGGCGAACCUCUUCUCCAAAUUCGAAGGGCACCGCGCCGACACACACCCUGACACCGCCCCUGAUGUGGCGGCCUACUUGGAUAAGGAGCGCAAAUGCAUGUAAACAGACGUUGGCAGACGAUGUAUUUUACCUGCAAGCUGUCAUGGGCGCCUGCGCGCACGUCAUUGUUGAUCUACUUUUUCUUUCGCUCUAUGUUUCGUUACGCCCAUGUCUCGAUGUACAACCACUUCUCUCUCUGUCUUUUCACUCCACGUGAUGCUGUUCAGCAGCGCUCGUCUUGGCGGCAUGUGCUCCUGAUUACCUUCUCUUGCACGCGUGCGCUUACGCGAGGAAGGGAAAGCCAGCAUCUCUUCUUUCUUUCUUCGCCACCGCAUCCUUUUUUCUUUUUCGCUUCCUUCUGUCUGGAUAUGUAAUGCGCUCGGGUACAGAGGAAGCACACAACAGAGGAUCUCAUG